GGUGUGUCUGGGAAGGUAAUUGCAGCCCCUGGCCUCUAGGGACACUAUAAAAAGAUGAAGCGGUCCAUUUGCCGUCAUGGGCAUCUGCUGGUCUCUGGGACCGCCCACUUCCUGGUGCGCACUUCCUCUUAGCCUCACAGCUCCGGAAAACACCGCCACCGGCAAUCUCGCCAUAAACCGAGCCUCUGCGAUUUGCGGGCUGUUGUUUCUGGUGACGGACAGCCUGGGACUUUCUGUGCUCCCAGUAAUUUUGGAUCAGCUGCUGCUUUAUUUAUAUUGAUUAUCGGGACGACUUGCUGCUCGCCUGCUCUCCAUCGCGCCGUGGAUGACGAGGGUUCUGCUGGGGUGGCUAGCCGCUGCUGUCGUCCGACGAAGUGCUGAGGACCCAGUCUUGUGCCCAGGUGGAGGUUAUCCCCCCAUUGGAGUGCCGUGUCUUGGUGAAGGGAUUCACUUGUGAGUGUGCAAUAUCACGUGAGUGGGGUGAAUUAUAUUUUUGUUUUUGUUUGGGGGGCCUCCACCUUCAGGAGCUAAACAGGCCUCAGCUAAACUGAUCUUUUCCCCAUUUAGUUUGUUUGAUGGUUUUAUUGCACCCUGUCAUUUUUUUUAUUUAAAUUCUUGUUUUAAUUGAUUUUUAGAACUCUUGUAAUAAAUAUUUUUAACUGA